UUUUUUAGUUUGAGUUCUAUGAGUGUUCUUGUUUCCAUAUCAGGCCACUGGUGCCAGCUGCUUGUUAUGUUUGCAGGGACAACUUGGACUUGGUGAAGAAGAGAUUCAUGUAUCCACUCCUUGUCUAAUUAACCACCCUCAACUAACCGGGGUCAUUCGGAUACAAGCAGGAAACAGCUACAGUGCAGCUGUCACAGCAGGUGGAGAGCUGCUUCUCUGGGGUCAGAUCUCCUGUGUUUCCAAGGUCAAUGAUCGCACAGGCUUCAAAAGGCUCUGGACCCCCCAGACUGUGCCUCUGGCGGCCCUAAAGGUGAAAGACGUUGCCUGUGGUAUGUGGCACAUGAUGGCUCUCACCACAAGGGGUCCUCAGAAGACUCAUUGUGCUCACCCAGAAUCGGAGCCUUGCUUCAGGGACCGUGUUGGUAAACCUUUACCAGUGA
rnacentral:lncRNA from 1 species